rnacentral:rRNA from 1 species
UGGGGAAUAUUGCACAAUGGAGGAAACUCUGAUGCAGCAACGCCGCGUGAAGGAUGAAGGUUUUCGGAUCGUAAACUUCUUUGAUUGGGGACGAGUAAAUGACGGUACCCAAAAAGCAAGCCACGGCUAACUACGUGCCAGCAGCCGCGGUAAUACGUAGGUGGCGAGCGUUGUCCGGAAUUACUGGGUGUAAAGGGCGUGUAGGCGGGAAUGUAAGUCAGAUGUGAAACCCCGAGGCUUAACCUCGGAACUGCAUCUGAAACUGCGUUUCUUGAGUGCUGGAGAGGAAAGCGGAAUUCCUAGUGUAGCGGUGGAAUGCGUAGAUAUUAGGAGGAACACCAGUGGCGAAGGCGGCUUUCUGGACAGUUACUGACGCUGAGGCGCGAAAGCGUGGGGAGCAAACAGG